rnacentral:rRNA from 1 species
CCUACGGGUGGCUGCAGUGGGGAAUAUUGGACAAUGGGGGCAACCCUGAUCCAGCCAUGCCGCGUGUGUGAAGAAGGCCCUCGGGUUGUAAAGCACUUUCAGUGAGGAAGAACGCCUGGUGGUUAAUACCCAUCAGGAAAGACAUCACUCACAGAAGAAGCACCGGCUAACUCCGUGCCAGCAGCCGCGGUAAUACGGAGGGUGCGAGCGUUAAUCGGAAUUACUGGGCGUAAAGCGCGCGUAGGUGGCUUGAUAAGCCGGUUGUGAAAGCCCCGGGCUCAACCUGGGAACGGCAUCCGGAACUGUCAAGCUAGAGUGCAGGAGAGGAAGGUAGAAUUCCCGGUGUAGCGGUGAAAUGCGUAGAGAUCGGGAGGAAUACCAGUGGUGAAGGCGGCCUUCUGGACUGACACUGACACUGAGGUGCGAAAGCGUGGGUAGCAAACAGGAUUAGAUACCCUUGUAGUC